rnacentral:tRNA from 1 species
GCUCAGUUGGUUGAGCAUCUGACUUCAGCUCAGGUCACAAUCUCGUGGUUUGUGGGUUCGAGCCCCGUACUGGGCU